UAGGGAAUCUUCCGCAAUGGGCGAAAGCCUGACGGAGCAACGCCGCGUGAGUGAUGAAGGUCUUCGGAUCGUAAAACUCUGUUAUUAGGGAAGAACAAAUGUGUAAGUAACUAUGCACGUCUUGACGGUACCUAAUCAGAAAGCCACGGCUAACUACGAGCCAGCAGCCGCGGUAAUACGUAGGUGGCAAGCGUUAUCCGGAAUUAUUGGGCGUAAAGCGCGCGUAGGCGGUUUUUUAAGUCUGAUGUGAAAGCCCACGGCUCAACCGUGGAGGGUCAUUGGAAACUGGAAAACUUGAGUGCAGAAGAGGAAAGUGGAAUUCCAUGUGUAGCGGUGAAAUGCGCAGAGAUAUGGAGGAACACCAGUGGCGAAGGCGACUUUCUGGUCUGUAACUGACGCUGAUGUGCGAAAGCGUGGGGAUCAAACAGG
rnacentral:rRNA from 1 species